rnacentral:lncRNA from 1 species
AUGGAUUACUCAAUAAUGAAAAACAUCCCAGAUGUGUCAGGACUGUCCUGUGACCAAGUCACGCAAGGACUCGGAAAGCUUCUUCAGAAAAACAGCUGCAGAGAUAACACAGAGCAAUCACUGUUCAACAAGGAUUUCUUCAAGGUCUGUGAUGGUUUCGACAUGUUUGGGUCAGGGAACUGCCAUUAUUUGGAGGUGUGGCCUUGUUGGAGUAGGUGUGUCACUGUGGGUGUGGAUUUAAUAACCUCAUCCUAGCUGCCUGGAAUUCAGUCUGCCACUAGCAGCCUUCAGAUGAAGAUGUAGAACUCUCGGCUCCUCCCACACCGUGCCUGUCCGAAUGCUGCCCAUGUCUCCCACCUUGAUGAUAGUGAACUGAGCCUCUGAACCUAUAAGCCAGCCCCAAGUAAAUGCUGUCCUUUAUAAGACUUGCCUUGGCUAUGGUGUUUGUUCAUAGCAGUAAAAUCCUAACUAAGACAAGGUCAAAGGGCAUCUAGAAAACAAGUGUUUAUUUUAAUGUUUA